rnacentral:rRNA from 1 species
UGGGGAAUAUUGGGCAAUGGGGGAAACCCUGACCCAGCAACGCCGCGUGAAGGAUGAAGGCUUUCGGGUUGUAAGCUUCUUUGAUCAGGGACGAAACAAAUGACGGUACCUGAAGAACAAGCCACGGCUAACUACGUGCCAGCAGCCGCGGUAAUACGUAGGUGGCAAGCGUUAUCCGGAUUUACUGGGUGUAAAGGGCGUGUAGGCGGUUCUGCAAGUCGGGUGUGAAAUUUCCGGGCUUAACCCGGACGGGUCACCCGAAACUGCGGAACUUGAGUACUGGAGAGGAUAGUGGAAUUCCUAGUGUAGCGGUAAAAUGCGUAGAUAUUAGGAGGAACACCAGUGGCAAAGGCGGCUAUCUGGACAGUAACUGACGCUGAGGCGCGAAAGCGUGGGGAGCAAACAG